rnacentral:rRNA from 1 species
GAGUUUGAUCAUGGCUCAGGAUGAACGCUGGCGGUCUGCUUAACACAUGCAAGUCGAACGAACUCUUCGGAGUGAGUGGCGGACGGGUGAGUAACGCGUGAGAAUCUGCCUGUGGGUCGGGGACAACUACUGGAAACGGUGGCUAAUACCGGAUGAGCCGAAAGGUAAAAGAUUUAUUGCCCACAGAUGAGCUCGCGUCUGAUUAGCUAGUUGGUAAGGUAAAAGCGUACCAAGGCGACGAUCAGUAGCUGGUCUGAGAGGAUGAGCAGCCACACUGGGACUGAGACACGGCCCAGACUCCUACGGGAGGCAGCAGUGGGGAAUUUUCCGCAAUGGGCGAAAGCCUGACGGAGCAAGACCGCGUGGGGGAGGAAGGUUUUUGGAUCGUAAACCCCUUUUGUCAAGGAAGAAGCUCUGACGGUACUUGACGAAUAAGCCUCGGCUAACUCCGUGCCAGCAGCCGCGGUAAUACGGAGGAGGCAAGCGUUAUCCGGAAUGAUUGGGCGUAAAGCGUCUGUAGGUGGCCAGCUAAGUCUGCUGUUAAAGAUCACAGCUCAACUGUGGGAAGGCAGUGGAAACUGGCAAGCUAGAGGUUGGUA